AACGUAAACUUUUAGUCUCUCUUCAUUUGGAGAACUGUUCUUAUUGUUAUUAUUCUAACAAAACCAUCUUCAUCGAUCAACAUGAGAAAGUGGUUUCAAAAAAUGUGAGAGUUUUUGAAAAAUGUUUUUGAAGAUUCUAACAACAAAACAAUCUUCCAUCGGUUUCGGAAAAUGUGAAACUUUCUCGUUUGUCCAUAACCCGCCACAUGAAGAUCAUCCAUUCCUCCUCUUUCCAGUUCCAAGCUUCAUUGAGAUAGUUGAUUAAAGUUGGCUUAUUCGAUUGCCAUUUUUUUGGGUUUUGCAUAUUGCAACUCCCCAGGUAUUGCAUUCCACAUAACUUUCCUCACCUUACUCGAUUGUUCCAUUUAUUCAAUGAGUACAAUGGAAAUUAUGCUUUGUAUUUUUUAAUCUUUCUUGAGUAGAAUUAAAAUUAUUCCUAUUAUUUUAAAAAAGAAUACAUUGUUUGUUUUGCAAAUUGUCGAAGAUUGGCAAUAUUUUUUUAAGAGAUGGUUGAAAGUUAUUGUAACAUUGUUUGUAAUGCUAUCAUUUAAUGGCUGUCGUUUUAAUUGAA